rnacentral:rRNA from 1 species
ACGAACGCUGGCGGCGUGCUUAACACAUGCAAGUCUACGAGAAAAAGGUAGCAAUAUCUUGAUUAAAGUGGCGCACGGGUGAGUAACACGUAAGCAAUCUACCCUUAGAUUUGGAAUAACUUCGAGAAAUCGGGGCUAAUACCGAAUAAUGCAGCGGCACCGCAUGGUGAUGUUGUUAAAGUUUCGAUGUCUAGGGACGAGCUUGCGUCUGAUUAGCUAGUUGGUGAGGUAACGGCUCACCAAGGCUGCGAUCAGUAGCUGGUCUGAGAGGAUGAUCAUCCACACUGGAACUGAGACACGGUCCAGACUCCUACGGGAGGCAGCAGUGAGGAAUAUUGGGCAAUGCCCGCAAGGGUGACCCAGCAACGCCGCGUGGAGGAUGAAUGCCGUAAGGUUGUAAACUCCUGUUAGAGGGGACGAAUGAUUCCGAUUGUAUCGGAAGUUGACUGUACCCUCAGAGAAAGCCCCGGCUAACUACGU